UUGGAGGGCAAGUCUGGUGCCAGCAGCCGCGGUAAUUCCAGCUCCAAUAGCGUAUAUUAAAGUUGUUGCAGUUAAAAAGCUCGUAGUUGAAUUUCGAGAUCAGUACGCUGGUCGUGCCUUCGGUAUGCACUGGUGUCACUGGUUUCUCCCUUCUGAAGAACCGUCAUGUCAUUAAGUUGGUGUGGCGGGGAAUCAGGACUGUCACUUUGAAAAAAUUAGAGUGUUUAAAGCAGGCUCGCGCUUGAAUACAUUAGCAUGGAAUAAUGAAAUAGGACGUUUGACCCUAUUUUGUUGGUUUCUAGGAUCGACGUAAUGAUUAAUAGGGAUAGUUGGGGGCAUUAGUAUUCAAUUGUCAGAGGUGAAAUUCUUGGAUUUAUUGAAGACUAACUACUGCGAAAGCAUUUGCCAAGGAUGUUUUCAUUAAUCAAGAACGAAAGUUAGGGGAUCGAAGACGAUCAGAUACCGUCGUAGUCUUAACCAUAAACUAUGCCGACUAGGGAUCGGAUGGUGCUAAUUUUUUAAUGACUCAUUCGGCGCCUUACGGGAAACCAAAGUGUUUGGGUU
rnacentral:rRNA from 1 species